UACGUAGGUGGCUAGCGUUGUCCGGAUUUACUGGGCGUAAAGAGCGCGCAGGCGGUCGUUCAAGUCGAGUGUGAAAGCCCCCGGCUCAACUGGGGAGGGUCACUCGAUACUGAUCGACUUGAAGGCGGGAGAGGGAAGCGGAAUUCCCGGUGUAGUGGUGAAAUGCGUAGAUAUCAGCAGGAACACCCGUGGCGAAGGCGGCUUCCUGGAUCACCCCUGACGCUGAGACGCGAAAGCGUGGGGAGCGAACGGG
rnacentral:rRNA from 1 species